rnacentral:rRNA from 1 species
AAGCAGCCAUCAUUUAAAGAAAGCGUAAUAGCUCACUGGUCGAGUCGGCCUGCGCGGAAGAUGUAACGGGGCUAAACCAUGCACCGAAGCUGCGGCAGCGAACGUAUCACUUAAAGCGAUUCAGCGGGUUACGAUUGACGGAGCGAAGCGACGUCAAAGCGUAUACAAAGUCGAGUCGGUUUAAGGAUACGUUCGUUGGGUAGGGGAGCGUUCUGUAAGCCUGUGAAGGUGUGUCGUGAGGCAUGCUGGAGGUAUCAGAAGUGCGAAUGCUGACAUAAGUAACGAUAAAGCGGGUGAAAAGCCCGCUCGCC